AGGUGCAAUCAUACCAGAACUAAUGCACCAGAUCCCAUCAAAACACUGCAGUUAAGCGUACUUGGACGAGAGUACUACUAGGAUGGGUGACCUCUUGGGAAGUCCUCGUCUUGCACCUC
rnacentral:rRNA from 2 species